GAGGAUGUAGUUCAGUGGUAGAGUGCUUGCCUAACAUGCAUGAGGUCCUGGGUUUUAUCCUCA
rnacentral:tRNA from 1 species